rnacentral:lncRNA from 1 species
CCUGAUAGUCUGGCAGCUGUCCAAGCUGUACAUAAAGUCACCAAGAGGGAUUAGUUUCUCAUGAAAUUGCGAACUGAAUUUGAAUCCAUCAGGUCUAGUCUUAUGAAUCGCGAAUCUAUCCCAAUGCUGGAUGGAUGUUUGAGUGAGUUGUUGAGAGAGGAGCAGCGUCUUAUCACUCGUACCUCUUUGAAACAGCAAUAGAAUCAAAUAACACUGAUUUCAGUUGCAUAUGUGGCUCAAGUGAGAUCCAAAUCUCGGGAUAUGUCUAGUGUGCAUUGUUAUAGUUGUAAAGGGCUUGGUCACAUGGCUCUUCAGUGUUCCAAAAAAAUGUGCAAUUAUUGCAAGAAGUCUGGACAUGUUAUUAAGGAGUGUCCUAUUCGUCCUCCACGUAAGACUGGAGCAGGUUAUGUUGCUGCCGCUACCUUAGCCUCCAGUUCUGCUACGCCAGCUGCAUCCACUCAAGUUUCAGCCUCUCCCAGUUCUUCCUAAAAUACCAUCACUCCUGAAAUGAUCCAACAAAUGGUUAUCUCUGCUUUGUCGGCCUUAGGGGUCUCAGGUAAUUCAUCAACAACCUCUUCGUCUUGGUUAUUAGACUCAGGUGCUUCUAACGAUAUGACCCAUAAUUUUCGAUUGCUUAAUAAUCUUAGACCAUAUACUGGACCUCUCCAUAUACAUACAACCGAUGGUAAUUCAUUUCCUAUCUCGGCUAUGGGUGAUAUAUCUCCAAACUUGUCAAAUGUUUUAGUAUCUCCGAGUCUAUCAACUAACCUUAUAUCUGUUGGUCAACUUGUUGAUAACAAUUGCACUGUGUCUUUUUCUUCUUCUGGCUGUCUUGUGCAGGAUCAAGUGUCUGGGAGGACGAUCAUAAGGGGGCCUAAGGAGGGACGUCUCUUUCCUAUUCAGCAAACCCUGUUUCGCAUUUUCCCAUUGUUUGCAAUUCCGCUACUUUUAAUAUCUUUGAUUGGCAUAAAAAAUUGGGACAUCCCAAUUAUAAUGUAUUGCAACAUUUGUUAAACUCCGGUUUGCUUGGUAAUAAAACUUCUGCUUCAGUUUCGUCUAUUUCACUUGAUUAUGCUUCAUGUAAACUUGCUAAGUGUAAAAUUUUAC